CAGUAGCGUAUAUUAAAGUUGUUGCAGUUAAAAUGCUCGUAGUUGAAGUUCGGAUGCAGCAGAGCUUGGAAACGCUGUUAUGGUGCUUCCGUUGCUUUUGCUUGUCCACAGUGCGUUGCAAGUACGUAUGUGCUUGUGCGUGCAUUUUACUUUGAGAAACAUAGGGUGUUCCACGCAUGUUACGGCAUGAAUAUUCCAGCAUGGGAUAAUCUGGUACGACUUCCAAUCUGCCAUUUUGGUUCGUAGGUUGGAAGUAAUGAUUAAUAGGGACUGUCGGGGGCAUUGGUAUUUGACUGUCAGAGGUGAAAUUCUUAGAUUCGUUGAGGACCAACCACUGCGAAAGCAUCUGUCAAGGAUGUCUCCAUUAA
rnacentral:rRNA from 1 species